GCAAGUCAAACGGGAUGUAGUAAUACAUCUAGUGGCGAACGGGUGAGUAACGCGUGGAUGAUCUACCUAUGAGAUGGGGAUAACUACUAGAAAUAGUAGCUAAUACCGAAUAAGGUCAAUUAAUUUGUUAAUUGAUGAAAGGAAGCCUUUAAAGCUUCGCUUGUAGAUGAGUCUGCGUCUUAUUAGUUAGUUGGUGGGGUAAAUGCCUACCAAGGCGAUGAUAAGUAACCGGCCUGAGAGGGUGAACGGUCACACUGGAACUGAGAUACGGUCCAGACUCCUACGGGAGGCAGCAGCUAAGAAUCUUCCGCAAUGGGCGAAAGCCUGACGGAGCGACACUGCGUGAAUGAAGAAGGUCGAAAGAUUGUAAAAUUCUUUUAUAAAUGAGGAAUAAGCUUUGUAGGAAAUGACAAAGUGAUGACGUUAAUUUAUGAAUAAGCCCCGGCUAAUUACGUGCCAGCAGCCGCGGUAAUACGUAA
rnacentral:rRNA from 1 species